GAUGAACGCUGGCGGCGUGCCUAAUACAUGCAAGUCGAGCGAACCACUUCGGUGGUGAGCGGCGAACGGGUGAGUAACACGUAGGUAACCUGCCCCUUAGACUGGGAUAACUCCGGGAAACCGGAGCUAAUACGGGAUAAUAAAGAGAAUCACCUGAUUUUCUUUUGAAAGACGGUUUCGGCUGUCACUAAGGGAUGGGCCUGCGGCGCAUUAGCUAGUUGGUAAGGUAACGGCUUACCAAGGCGACGAUGCGUAGCCGACCUGAGAGGGUGAUCGGCCACACUGGGACUGAGACACGGCCCAGACUCCUACGGGAGGCAGCAGUAGGGAAUCUUCCGCAAUGGACGAAAGUCUGACGGAGCAACGCCGCGUGAGUGAGGAAGGCCUUCGGGUCGUAAAGCUCUGUUGUGAGGGAAGAACAAGUACCGGGGUAACUACCGGUACCUUGACGGUACCUCACCAGAAAGCCACGGCUAACUACGUGCCAGCAGCCGCAGUAA
rnacentral:rRNA from 1 species